rnacentral:lncRNA from 1 species
GGCUAUCCCACGCGUAAGCCCGUGGAGGCUAUCCCACGCGUAAGCCCGUGGAGGCUAUCCCACGCAUCAGCUCGUGGCCGCUAUCUUAUGACAAGGUUAGUCCAACCCAUAUUACAUGUGUAGUUUUACAUGUUCAAUCACAUUCCCAUCACAUCACAUAUUUUCAUAAAUUUUCAAAAAUAUGUUAUUUCUUCCCAAAUGAAUUUAUCUCAAUAUUUUUAUUAUAAACAACAUGCACGCCUCAUAGGUGCCGCAUCAACUCAUAAACAAUAACAACAUAAUCAUGAAAAUAUGUUGAUAAAAAAUUCGUCUCAUAUGUAUCAUAUCAACUCACAAGCAAUGACAUCAAAACCGUAAAUAAAUCCAACGAUAAAUCAAUAUAUGCAUAGAAGUGCUCAGAUUUUGGGAUUCUUACCGAAAUUGUAGACUGACUCAAACACAGUCCGAAUCACAACCUACGCGCUGGGGUGCUGAGUCCCCUGAUCAAAACCUCCUAGCUCUG